rnacentral:rRNA from 1 species
CUAUCUUGUGUCCAGUCUGGAUGCUGCAAACCCCCAACCGGGUGCAGCUUCACCUACCAGAGCGAGACCAUGUGGAACAAACCUCCUGGCUUCAACUCUACCUAUGACCCCGACUGCAACACGUGGUCGAAUGAUUAGAGGGCCCUAUGCUACGAAUGCCAGUCAUGCAAGGCCGGCGUGCUCGCCAACCUGAAGAACGUCUGGAAGAAGAUCGCCACCGUCAACAUUGUAUUCCUCAUCUUACUCAUCAUCGUCUACUCUGUUGGGUGUUGUGCUUUCAGGAACAACAGGCGGGACAACUCGUACCCAGCCUGGAAGUGA